rnacentral:lncRNA from 1 species
ACCAGCACCAUUUCUGAGGAGCUGGCAGCCACUCAAAGCAGCCCCUCACCCCACAUCCCUGAACCCUGCACCUGACCAGGAAUAUACUGACCCAGCUUGACAGAGCCGUCGGUUCUGAGAAGGAUGUUGUCGCUCUUCACAUCUCGGUGGAUCACAUGGUUUGAGUGAAGAAAAUCCAAUCCUUGCAGGCACUGAGAGAGAAAACAGAAACAGGAGGGCAAAAACUAGUGAUUUCAUCACACCAGACAGGAAACAGAGACUCUAAAAGAUUCCCAUUCCCCAGGGGACUGGGGAGUAAUGGCACAACACAGUGCCAUUGAGAGGAAGAGUUGCUGCUCCAACACUUGCAGAGCAGGACCUUUCUAAGGAAAGGCAUGUCACCUUUUGAAAGUGCAAGAGCACCUGCUCUUGUAGACUGUCCCCUGCAAACCAGCCAGGAUGACUGCUGCUGCAGUGGUGUGCUCAGAAGCAAAGAGCAUUUUGGCUGCACUACUAUGGUUUUUAGCUGAGGACUGAGAGAAAGGAGUCUCUCUUUUUUUCUUAGCUGUGCAUUUCAAAUCCUGCUACCAGCACCUUGCUUCUACAAGCAAGGAAUGCAGUGAAGACAGGCAAAAGUUUAGGGAGGAAACAUGGAGAACAGCAGACACAAGAGGCAGAGUGAGAACAGAGCAGCAGGAGAUAAGAGUACAAGAACUGAGUACAGUGAGUGCAGGGCACUCCAGGCAUUUCACUGGAGAUGCUUUUACCUGCCCAUAGCGUACCAGCAACACAGAAGCAAAGCCUGGCACAUGAAACCUCUCCUGUUCUGAGCCCCUGUUUCCCAGACAAUCCUGCCCAAACCCUUGGAAGCACAGGUGGGCUUGCUGACCUCCCGACUGAUGACUGCUAUCUCGGUUUCAGUCAGGAAGAUCUUGCUGAUGACAUCCCACAGAGUGCCUCCGUCCAUGUACUCCAUGACCAGCCAGAGUUCCUCACCCAGAAGGUAGCUGAAGGAAAGAAACAAGGACGUGAAGAUAAACAUGUAUGGUAAGGUUGAUUUUUUGCUUCCGGGCCUCUUGUUUCCAAGGCCCUUUGUGACAAGGACAGAAUAAAAGGAAUAGACAUUCCCUCUCGGCUGUGCUUUGUUUGCAAUCUGUGCAGCCUCAGGGAGAAAGGCACAGCUGUGAAAAAGGAGAUGUCUUAGAUGGCCAGCAAGUGAAAAGUGAAGUUUAGUAAGAGCCCAGAUAAAAUCCUGUCACAAAUGCUGUUUCUGGAAAUAAGCACCUAGUCUUCCUGGCAUGCAUAGCAAUGGAAAAGAGGGGCAACAAUCCAAGGGAAAUCCACUUUAGGAUGGUUCAUCAUUCAGCAUUGAAGAAACUUUAAAAAAUCAAUCCCAAUGAAUGUGGAGGCAGUGAAUUUAGAAGGUAUUAACUUUGUAAGAUACAGCUGAUCCAGGUUUUGAAUAAUUUUGGAAUAAUUUUCAAACUACAUGUUCCAGGGAAUACUCAUGCAGGCAAGAUGCACUCUCUUCUCAUCCAUUGGAGAUGAGCAGAGAAAUAUUAAUACAUAAUAAUUAACAGCUCUACUUUCUAGAAGUGACCAAAGUGGAUUUUUAACCUCUCAUGUGUGUGGUAUGUACGUGCAUAUUCAUGGGAUAAGACCAUGGCCACUCACCUAUCUAAGUAAUUCACAACACUGGGACUCCUAUGCUUCUUCAUGAUUUCGAUUUCAUUAACAGCUAGUUGCUUUCUCUGCCAUCCGUUAAGUCUUAUUUUCUUUAUGGCCACCUAAAAUGACACUGAAAAUCAGUAACUUGAGAAGUUGGUGGCACGAGAUCACAAGGCACAUGGAGCGAGUGAUUUUGCAAUGACACAGCCAAGCUGUGCAAAAAUACCUUGUGAUUAGGCAUUGCAGUAAUUAGGAACUGACAUUGCAACAGCCCAUUUCUCUGCUCCCUUGGGGGCCAGUUACAGGACACGUGGCCACUGAGGUUUUGCCGUGUCCACUUGGUAACAGUGGUAUCUCAACUAUCACCCACAAACCUCUGAGCCCACUCCCUGCUGCUUUGUAUGGGAUUCAGAAGAAGUAAUCCAUGCCUUAAUACUCUGUGGCUAAUCCAGGGCUAUGGGCAGGGCUUAGGGCUUCUAGGGACGCCUUGCAGAUCUCUCCCUAUGUGCAGUUCCCAAGUGCAGCACUGCAGGUGUCUGAGGAGCUACCGGUAACUCUCAGAUGCAUUUGCUGGCAACCAGAAGUGAGAAUUCAGGACUCUGAAGCUGUCGCCCCAAAGAGCAGUGAGAUGCUCUAAGGCACCACCUUUGCUUUAGCAAUUGAGAGCGAGUGAGCACAUCCUUCUCUGAAAUGAACUGCUGCCCUGCGUGCCUUCCUUCUGGCAGCUGAGAAGGACAAAGACUGUCCCCAAUGUAUUUUGCAGGCUGGUACCAGUCUGUGUUUCUUU